UAAUUUGAUAAUCCGCAAAACACCUUACCACAACUUGAAUAUAAAUAUUUCUGAUGUUUUUACAAGCGUUGCACGGCUGUCUACAGUUAAUGUCGUGAGACUUUGGUUAGAUCCAUUAAAUUAACGCAAGCCCUUACUUUAUUUUUAAAUAAAGUCGUUCCCCACUAUAUUGGAUAUGAUAACAGGGACUAAGACAAGUCAUCAUGGCCUGAAUGUUGU
rnacentral:rRNA from 1 species